AUAUAGUACCAUGUGUGCUAUUAUUAGAACUAUGCUUGGUAAAAUUAAAAUUUAAAAUUUGCAUAUACAUGCAGCAAUUGGCCAACAUUUCCACAAAUCUUCAUCAAAGGAGAGUUCGUCGGGGGAUCGGAUAUCGUCCUCGGCAUGCACCAGAACGGUCAGCUGAAGGAGUUGCUUGCAGACAUAAAGGGUGACACUUCUAAGCCUACAGAAGACAACUAGUUUCUUUCUUUUCUUGAGGUACAACCUCCUCUUUAAUAAUUUUUCUUCAUGAAAAUAUAAUUAUACAUUAAAUUUUGAGUCUGUAAAAUGAUGAUAGUUUUGAUGUGUUAUAAAAGAUUUGUGUGGCAUAACCUAAACAAGCAAAGUUUUGGUGUUAGUUGUGUAAAUACAUAGGAAUUGGGUGGA